rnacentral:lncRNA from 1 species
CUUACAACAGCUACUAAGGAAAUGCAGCUCCCUGCGCUGCCCUGAUGAUGCCCUUGUCGCUGAUCAUCCAAAAGCAUCCUGAUAUCCUCUUCCUUCACAUGGCAUUCCUGGUCCAGCGAAGCACGUGAAGGAUCAGGAUGGAAGUAAUUCAGCAUCAGAAUAUUUUAUUAUGUUUCAAAUGGACUAGCAAGCCAAGUAACUAGUACAAUGAUAGUCACUAACAUGUUAUGUACACUCGGAAACUAAAGUUAGCCUAGACUAGCCACUUUUUGUAGAAAGGGAAAAUUUUCAUGGUGAGACAUGUCUGACUCACACAUCAUGCAUAAGCUUAAAGCAUACCCAGCUGUGUAAACUUACCAAUCCACUUGUCUUUAAGAAAAGAAUAUACGAUCCAAUAAGCAACAUUCCAAAAGAUCAGGUAUUAACAAUUUCAGAUGUAAGUCAUACUAGUUAUACCAAACAGAUAUACCAAACAAUGCAAUAAACGAUGCACACUGACCAUGUUACUUCAACUAGAGCAGUGUACAGAUCAACUAAAAGGCAAAAGGCAAACCUUGCAGGACCAUCCUUGAGCGCGGGGAAUGUGGGAGGCCAAACCAUCAUAAAAGGGUAGACAUCAGUGAAAUGUCGAUCCUUUUGUGCCAUCGCAUGCACUUUAC